rnacentral:rRNA from 1 species
AUUGAACGCUGGCGGCAGGCCUAACACAUGCAAGUCGAGCGGAUGAAGGGAGCUUGCUCCUGGAUUCAGCGGCGGACGGGUGAGUAAUGCCUAGGAAUCUGCCUGGUAGUGGGGGAUAACGUCCGGAAACGGGCGCUAAUACCGCAUACGUCCUGAGGGAGAAAGUGGGGGAUCUUCGGACCUCACGCUAUCAGAUGAGCCUAGGUCGGAUUAGCUAGUUGGUGGGGUAAAGGCCUACCAAGGCGACGAUCCGUAACUGGUCUGAGAGGAUGAUCAGUCACACUGGAACUGAGACACGGUCCAGGCUCCUACGGGAGGCAGCAGUGGGGAAUAUUGGACAAUGGGCGAAAGCCUGAUCCAGCCAUGCCGCGUGUGUGAAGAAGGUCUUCGGAUUGUAAAGCACUUUAAGUUGGGAGGAAGGGCAGUAAGUUAAUACCUUGCUGUUUUGACGGUACCAACAGAAUAAGCACCGGCUAACUACGUG